UAAGGAAUAUUGGUCAAUGGGCGCAAGCCUGAACCAGCCAUGCCGCGUGCAGGAAGACGGCCCUAUGGGUUGUAAACUGCUUUUAUCAGGGAAUAAACCCCCGCUCGUGAGCGGGGCUGAAGGUACCUGAAGAAUAAGCAUCGGCUAACUCCGUGCCAGCAGCCGCGGUAAUACGGAGGAUGCAAGCGUUAUCCGGAUUCAUUGGGUUUAAGGGGUGCGCAGGCGGAUUGGUAAGUCAGGGGUGAAAUCCCACCGCUCAACUGUGGAACUGCCUUUGAUACUGUCAGUCUAGAGUAUAGUUGAAGUGGGCGGAAUGUGUCAUGUAGCGGUGAAAUGCUUAGAUAUGACACAGAACACCGGUCGCGAAGGCAGCUCGCUAAGCUAUAACUGACGCUCAUGCACGAAAGCGUGGGGAUCAAACAG
rnacentral:rRNA from 1 species